GGGUUGUUGCUGGUUCUCUAGGGAGCAUGUGCACACCUUGUCAUCUUUAUAUCUCCACCUGUGCACUUUUUGUAGACCUGAAAGGUCUAUGUUGCUUCAUUUACACCAAUGUAUGUUAAUAGAAUGUUGUGACUUAUAUAAUAUAUACAACUUUCAGCAACGGAUCUCUUGGCUCUCGCAUCGAUGAAGAACGCAGCGAAAUGCGAUAAGUAAUGUGAAUUGCAGAAUUCAGUGAAUCAUCGAAUCUUUGAACGCACCUUGCGCUCCUUGGUAUUCCGAGGAGCAUGCCUGUUUGAGUGUCAUUAAUAUAUCAACCUUCUCUUAUUUGAGUUGUUUGGAUGUGGGGGUUUGCUGGACUCUUAAAUGAUUCAGCUCCCCUGAAAUGCAUUAGCAGAACAAACCUGUUCAUUGGCGUGAUAAUUAUCUAUGCUAUUGAAUGGUGAGGGAAGUUCAGCUUUCUAAUCGUCCUUGGACAAUUUAUCAUUAAUGUGACCUCAAAUCAGGUAGGACUACCCGCUGAACUUAAGCAUAUC
rnacentral:rRNA from 1 species